rnacentral:lncRNA from 1 species
GCAGGCCCGGGAAUCCGGCCCGGCUGCGUGCGUACCAAGGAGGCGCCUGGAGAGGGCGGCCAAUGACUCAGGCCAGGCCAGGCCAGCAGUGUUUGGGCUGCAUGGACCACCUUCUGGGCCAGGCUGUUAGGAGGCCACCACCAAGCAGCAAACGCAGGAGCAGCCGUGCCCUGAGGAGGCACCACCAGCAGCCUCCAGCAGCACUCGGUGAGGCGGGCAACGAUCCAUCUGUGCCGCCAGCAUGGAGCCGGAAGCCACGGCUGACUUGUGCAGUAGAGGAAGUCGAGUUCAUUUUAUUGAAUUUAUUCUCAUUUUCAGUUUGAAUGGCCACAUGUGGCAGGCAGUUAUUCUAUUGUGCAGUGCUUGCCGGACCACAUGCAACAAUUCAAAAUUGAAAAUCAAAAAUAAAUGUACGGCUCACCCAC